CUCACACACACACAUACAACACAACACACUCCUCCAUCAGGGAGGCGUUGUUCGGAGCUGAUAAAAAUAUCCAUGUUUAUUCACUGUAUUGCAAAAUACAGAUGUGCAUACGUUUAUAUUAUUUAAUAGAAUAUUAUUUAUAUUAUUUAACACUGAAAUUUGCGUCGCGUAUUUCUGGAUUUGUACAGCGUGUGCGAUUGCGCGCUCAAGUUUGUUUGCUGGCUUCCAUUACUAAUGGAGUCAUCCGUGCUGUGCAUGAAGAAACUAACAACAUCAGCCACCAACCGUCCACUCGUGCUAAAGAUGACCUGUGCAAUGUUAAAGACUUAACGGAUUCAGAACAGGCUGAUAUGGACAAUAAAAUAGUGUUAUUAUUAUAUAGUCUUUGUUCUUGUGAGCAGAUAGCUGUAAUGGCGCUAGUGUACCGACAGAUGCUCCUCGCGCAGCAUUACAUCUAAGGGAUGGUCCACUGUAUGAAGAACGUUUGGGUAUGAUAUGUCACAGGUCACAUGAAUGAACUACAGUGUCCUGCACCCACUAA